rnacentral:lncRNA from 1 species
CCCAAACACAGUAGCCACACCCCCCAAACCAGAGGUUACAAAUGGGCAGCCCCUGGGUCCAGUGCAGCCCCUCUGUGUGUUCCGUUUGGCCAUCAAAGGCUUUUAAAAGAACCAUUGAGCCAAGAUUUUAAACGUCGGGGAUCUGGUACAAAUACCUGGAUUCCUGGCUUCUCUUUAAAAAUCACAUGUGAGGAUCUUGGGCCCUUGUCCACCUGGAUAGAAGUACGGACCAGUCUUUGGCAGGUGUGGGCUCCCCACCCUGUCAGCUCCCCCAACACCUGGGCCUAGGGGCAGACUGGUGAUCGGUGGCUGGUACAGUAUUUUCUCCUUACCCUGACCCCUUCACCUCCAGUAGCCCUUCCGAACCCCUGGGUCAGGUGCAGGGAGCUCAAUAUUUGAUUAGCCCAGCCCCUGUGGGUAAACUGAGGCCACCCUCCUGAGCACUCUCCGCUGCUACCCGCAUGUCCCCUCCCCAAGAAGGCAGCUAAAAAUAUUCAAGUUGCUGCCCUAUGGGCCGAGACCCAGGGCCUCCUCACUCUCUCAUUCCACCUCCGCCUGUGUGCCUGCUUGGGCUGCAUCCUGGGGACACAGAGGUGACCUGAACACAGCCAUUGCCCUCACAAAGGACAGGAUCUAACAACAGACAGGCAGACCAUGACUUCCCAGCUGUGGCAUCUGCACACAGGGCACAGAAACUAACUUCUUAGGCCUCCAUUUCCUCAUCUGGAAAAUGGGUCGCUCCCUGGGUUCCCUCUCCCCAUUUGCAUGCCCCAGCGGAUGGUAGGAACCACUCCGCUUGUUCAUUCAAUCCCCGUGUUUGUUCUUUGGCUCCACUCUGCAGCACUAGCUCCCGGGCCAGGCUGGGCGUGGCGUAGAUGGAAGAUGGUAAAGAAGCCAGCUAGAAAGGCAGGAACGCAGCGUGACGGUGCCAUACCCAGAGGGCCUGCCUGGGCAGCCCCCAGAGGCCUUCAAAGCUACACUGGAGAGCUUGGCCGAGGGACCAAUGGCAAUGGCACACACUGAAGUGUUUUACACAAAAAAAACCGCCUGGCUGGAUGUGGCUGGCAAGAAGAUGGCCGGAGCUGCAGGUGACGAGUGAUCAAGAGGAGCCCAUGGCAGUGGGGACAGGUCACAGCUGAAGUGGGUGACCUGCAACAUGUUCAGCAGGUAAAAUUGACAGGUUUGGUCGGACUGGCCACAAGGGAGAGGACGGGUAAAGGACAGCUCUUGGUCUCUGGCCAGGCCGGCGGCUCAACAAGUGUCCAAACAAACCAUCCGUGUGCCCGGUGUCUACCUGAGCUGCCGUCACCUCUUCCUUUGCCGGGUUUCAUUUUUCUCUUUUGCUGUGUUGCUGCAACUGGUUGCCAAAAGGACUGCACAGCUCUCCUGGCAAUUUGGCAAAGUCUAGAACAACAGUAUUUCCCAUAAUCUCACCAUUAAAGGACAACCCUUGUGGACAUCCUGGCAGAUUUCUUUCUGGUCUUUU